rnacentral:tRNA from 1 species
UGGGAUGUAGCUCAGCAGCACAGCGCCUGCCUGGCAAGAAUGAAGCCCUGAGUUCAAUUCUCAGUAUAACAA